rnacentral:tRNA from 1 species
UGGGAUGUAGCUUAGUGGUAGAGCAUUUGCCUACCAUGUGUGAGGCCCUGGAUUCAACACCCAGUAACACAA